rnacentral:miRNA from 1 species
CCAGUUAAAUUUGAAAUUCAAAUAAAUAAUGAAUAAAUUUUUAGUAUAAGUAUGUCCCGUGCAAUAUUUGGGACAUACUUAUCCUAAAGAUUAUUUGCUAUUUAUCUCAAAUUCAAAGGUCACUAGACAUCCUGCA